UUGAACGCUGGCGGCAUGCCUAACACAUGCAAGUCGAACGGCAGCACAGUAGAGCUUGCUCUAUGGGUGGCGAGUGGCGGACGGGUGAGUAAUGCAUCGGGAUCUACCCAAACGUGGGGGAUAACGUAGGGAAACUUACGCUAAUACCGCAUACGUCCUACUGGGAGAAAGCAGGGGAUCGCAAGCUCGGCGCUUGCGACGAAUCAGAUGAGCCUAGGCGAUUAGCUAGUUGGUGAGGGUAAUGGCCUACCAAGGCGACGAUCGCUAAGCUGGUCUGAGAGGAUGAUCAGUCACACUGGAACUGAGACACGGUCCAGACUCCUACGGGAGGCAGCAGUGGGGAAUAUUGGACAAUGGGCGCAAGCCUGAUCCAGCCAUGCCGCGUGUGUGAAGAAGGCCUUCGGGAUUGUAAAGCACUUUAUUAGGAGCGAAAUGCAUGGUACUAAUACCGGUGAGUUUGACGGUACCUGAGAAUAAGCACCGGCUAACUUCUGUGCCAGCAGCCGCGGUAAUACGAAGGGUGCAAGCGUUAAUCGGAAUUACUGGGCGUAAAGCGCUGCGUAGGUGGUGACGUUAAGUCUGAUGUGAAAUCCCCGGGCUCAACCUGGGAACUGGCAUGGCAUACUGGUCGAGCUAGAGUGUGAUAGAGGAUGGUGGAAUUUCCCGGUGUGUAGCGGUGAAAUGCGUAGAGAUAGGAGGAACAUCAGUGGCGAAGGCGGACCAUCCUGGACUAUACGCUGACGCUGAGGCACGAAAGCGUGGGGAGCAAACAGGAUUAGAUACCCUGGUAGUCCACGCCCUAAACGAUGUCGAACUAGGCUGUUGGUAUCAACUCGGAGCUCUUAGUGUCGCAGCUAACGCGUUAAGUUCGCCGCCUGGGGAGUACGGUCCGCAAGACUGAAACUCAAAUGAAUUGACGGGGGCCCGCACAAGCGGUGGAGUAUGUGGUUUAAUUCGAUGCAACGCGAAGAACCUUACCUGGCCUUGACAUCUCAUGGAAUCUUGCCAGAGAUGGAUUGGUGCCUUCGGGAAUCAUUGAACAGGUGCUGCAUGGCUUGUCGUCAGCUCGUGUCGUGAGAUGUUGGGUUAAGUCCCGUAACGAGCGCAACCCUUGUCCUUAGUUACCAGCACGUAAUGGUGGGCACUCUAAGGAGACUGCCGGUGACAAACCGGAGGAAGGUGGGGAUGACGUCAAGUCAUCAUGGCCCUUACGGCCAGGGCUACACACGUACUACAAUGGUCGGUACAGAGGGUUGCCAAUACCGCGAGGUGGAGCUAAUCCCAGAAAAGCCGAUCCUAGUUCCGGAUCGCAGUCUGCAACUCGACUUCGUGAAGUCGGAAUCGCUAGUAAUCGCAGAUCAGCUAUGCUGCGGUGAAUACGUUCCCGGGCCUUGUACACACCGCCCGUCACACCAUGGGAGUGGGUUGCUACCAGAAGUAGCUAGUCUAACCUGCAAGGGGGGACGGUUACCACGGUGUGUUCAUGACUGGGGUG
rnacentral:rRNA from 1 species